ACCCCACUGCUAUCGGGAUAGGACUAAGACAUGCUAGUUGAGCGCUUCCAGCCAAAACGGGAGCGCAGCGCACAGCUCAGUAACACGUGGCUAAUCUGCCCUUGGGACCGGAACACCCCCGGGAAACUGGGGCUAAUUCUCGAUAGGUGAAGAACUCUGGAAUGAGUCUUUGCCAAAAAGACGUUUACGUUAUGCUCGUAGGCGUCGCCCAAGGAUGAGGCCGCGACCGAUCAGGUUGUUGGUGAGGUAAUGGCUCACCAAGCCUUUUACCGGUGCGGGCCGUGAGAGCGGGAGCCCGGAGAUGGGCACUGAGACAAGGGCCCAGGCCCUACGGGGCGCAGCAGUCGCGAAAACUUUGCAAUACACGAAAGUGUGACAGGGCUAUCCCGAGUGCCAUCCGCUGAGGAAGGCUUUUACCCAGUCUAGAACGCUGGGGGAAUAAGGAGAGGGCAAGUCUGGUGUCAGCCGCCGCGGUAAUACCAGCUCUCCGAGUGGUGUGGAUGUUUAUUGGGCCUAAAGCAUCCGUAGCUGGCUGAGUUAGUCCCUUGUUAAAUCCACCGAAUUAAUCGUUGGAUUGCGGGGGAUACUGCUCGGCUAGGGGACGAGAGAGGCAGACGGUAUUUCUGGGGUAGGGGUGAAAUCCUAUAAUCCCAGGAGGACCACCAGUGGCGAAAGCUGUCUGCUAGAACGCGCCCGACGGUGAGGGAUGAAAGCUGGGGGAGCGAACCCGGAUUAGAUACCCGGGUAGUCCCAGCUGUAAACGAU
rnacentral:rRNA from 1 species